rnacentral:lncRNA from 1 species
CUCUCUGCAGGGAAAUGAUCCUCUUUCUUCGGGGCACACUCAAGUCACCUCAUCCAUUUAGCCUUUCUGCACAAGCUUCAUUACUCCGAUUUCCCCUUCCCACAGACUCUGCCGUGAUUCCUCACACCAAUACGGAUGCAGGGGAAGACAGAAGUUCUGGGAGGCAAUCCACCCAGAUCUUCCCUUCAUGUGAGAAAACAGCCAUUCCUCGAGACCAGACAAUACCAGGGAAGCAAGAUCCUAACAAUUUCUGGGGGCUAGGUGGAAAUUCUACCAUGUGUGACCUGGAGCUGGGGAAAGAAAUGAGGGCUACCUGGCCUGCUCCUGGGUGAGGAGAGCUGCCAGCCUCAGGGCUUCAGGUCCCCCUCUGGAGACUUCCAGCCCUCGGCCUGCUGCUGACAGGAAGAGAGUUCAUGAAACAGCUCAGGGAUGGUCUACAUCUGCCACAUACACUGGCUGUUUGGAAAGUUGUCAUUUUUAGAGUCUCUGAAGAUAAUCCAAUUACACUGUGUUCAGAUGAAAAAACGAUCACUGUUCUUUCAUGAUUAUUGGUCUUCAAGUAGUUGUUGUUAUUAUAAAUAACUGAAUCACCAUUGAGGAAAUCUGCCCACAGAAUAAAAUUCAGAUUAUCACUGCAAAGUCAUCCUUUAAGAAUAUUGCUAAUACUUUUCUUU